rnacentral:tRNA from 1 species
GCCUCCGUGGUGAAAUGGAUAUCACGAAUCGCUUCGGACGAUUUGUUGUGGGUUCGACUCCUGCCGGAGGCA